CCUACGGGGGGCAGCAGUGGGGAAUAUUGGACAAUGGGGGCAACCCUGAUCCAGCCAUGCCGCGUGUGUGAAGAAGGCCCUCGGGUUGUAAAGCACUUUCAGCGAGGAAGAACGCCUGGUGGUUAAUACCCAUCAGCAAAGACAUCACUCACAGAAGAAGCACCGGCUAACUCCGUGCCAGCAGCCGCGGUAAUACGGAGGGUGCGAGCGUUAAUCGGAAUUACUGGGCGUAAAGCGCGCGUAGGUGGCGUGAUAAGCCGGUUGUGAAAGCCCCGGGCUCAACCUGGGAACGGCAUCCGGAACUGUCAAGCUAGAGUGCGGGAGAGGAAGGUGGAAUUCCCGGUGUAGCGGUGAAAUGCGUAGAGAUCGGGAGGAAUACCAGUGGCGAAGGCGGCCUUCUGGACUGACACUGACGCUGAGGUGCGAAAGCGUGGGGAGCAAACAGGAUUAGAUACCCGGGUAGUC
rnacentral:rRNA from 1 species